ACGCUGGGGGCUUGGAGUCAAUAGAAUUAUUUCUAGCAAAAUUAGUGUAAGUGUUCGCCUACACAACGGACACUGACAGUCUACAUUUAUCAUGGUUUUGAAAAAGUAAUUUAGCACGAUAAUUGCAAACUUUGAACGUCCGAAUAAUCCAAAGUGUCGAUCGCUCAUUCUCUCUCUGUUUACAUUUGACAAUUUCUUCUUAUAAAAUUUUAAUCUCUGAAUGGGAAAAGUUUGCUUUCCUAUCGUCUUGUUACCAUGCCUACAAGAACAAGGAAGUAAAUGGUAGACAAUCACGUGAGGCAACGCAUUAAGUUCGGGGACUCCCCAGAGGCUAUUUUUAGAACUGCCUGUUUCUUUUUUCGCCGAUACCUAUCGGAGACCUGUCAAAGUGUUCCUACAUACUAACGUAUCUAGAAAACAUCUUUUGGUACAAUUGGCUAACGAGGUACCUUGUAUACAAUACAGUCGUUACAAUACGGUCUUGCACACUGAGAUUCUUGGCAUAACAUAAUCUAGUUCCGCAAACUGACCGAACGGUGUAUUCUUCCGCGUCAACAGCAUCAUCCAAGGACAGCUAGCACGCAGCUUGCUUCUACAUCCUGACAUGUGGUGUUCACACACAGCAAACUGGGCUGCUCCUUCGUUCUUACUGGCUGUAGCAGCUCUUCACAUGAUGGUGACAUUACAAUUUUAUGCUACAUGCACAAUGCAAGUUGUAGUGGCUGACACUUUUGGCAUUGACAUUGGAUGAAUAUGGGAGACAGUGGCUACCCGCUGAGAGACUUGCUUAGUAUCCCCUUUUUUAAAUGCAGACAAGGAAAAGUUCAACUGUGCCCACAGCUCAACACGGAGCACCACUGAGAGAACCAAUGAUGUUCUCAAAACUUGGUUUCAUUUUCUUCUUGCACAACUAAGGUGACUCAGUUGACAGAUGGAAUUCUGGCUGCUUGGUACAUCACCUUGGUGUGUUUUAUCUGACAGUCAAAAAGAUUUUUUUCAGAAAUGUGCAACUGUCUAGGCAUAAGCCGCUUUGAUGGCUUUGAAUAUUGCUG